GCUGACGACUGUGUGGUGCUGAGCGCAGGUGUUCUACAUCAGCGCGACUGCGUAGACGGCUUUAAAAGGAAGCGGCUGACUGCACCUCUUCGCCAGAGUAUUAGCCAUACGUGCUGGACAGCGCUUUGCAGAUCCCUCGUGAACUAUCCAGUUCUGAAACCGAGCUGACAUCCCCCUGUCCAGAUCCCAGCAGGGCCGAGCGUGUCUCUCCCAGAUCCGCCCUCCUGCCGAAAAGUAAACCGAAAAUGUCGCCGCCUCCUGCAUCUAACCGGCGCGCCGACCAGCAGCUAGCCAUCAGCACCGAUCCGCAGUCCGAUCACCGGAACCCUGCCAGCCCCCCAUCCUCCCUCUCUCUGUUCCAGAGCUUCAGUGUGUCCCUGCGUGUUCGGCGGCUCCAAAGGAACUCCCGCGAUCGUUUCCUGUUUAAUUAAAUAAACUUUGUAAACCGUC